GUGUCCUACGGGAGGCAGCAGUGGGGAAUAUUGGGCAAUGGACGCAAGUCUGACCCAGCAACGCCGCGUGAAGGAAGAAGGCUGUCGGGUUGUAAACUUCUUUUAAGGGGGAAGAGCAGAAGACGGUACCCCUUGAAUAAGCCACGGCUAACUACGUGCCAACAGCCGCGGUAAUACGUAGGUGGCAAGCGUUGUCCGGAUUUACUGGGUGUAAAGGGCGUGCAGCCGGAGAGACAAGUCAGAUGUGAAAUCCACGGUCUCAACCCGGGAACUGCAUUUGAAACUGUUUCCCUUG
rnacentral:rRNA from 1 species